UGAGCAAUCUGCCCUUCUCUUUGGAAUAAGCGUUGGAAACGACGUCUAAUGCCGAAUACGACCUCCUUUCGCAUGAUCGGAGGUGGAAAGCUCCGGCGGAGAAGGAUGAGCUCGCGGCCUAUCAACUAGUUGGUGUGGGUAAUAGCUCACCAAGGCGAUGACGGGUAGCCGGCCUGAGAGGGUGACCGGCCACACGUGGGACUGAGACACGGCCCAGACUCCGUACGGGAGCAG
rnacentral:rRNA from 1 species